rnacentral:rRNA from 1 species
CCUACGGGAGGCAGCAGUAGGGAAUUUUCGGCAAUGGGGGGAACCCUGACCGAGCAACGCCGCGUGAACGAAGACGUUCUUCGUAGUGUAAAGUUCUUUUAACAGGGAAGCAAGAGCAAUUUGACGGUACCUGAAGAAUAAGCUCCGGCUAACUACGUGCCAGCAGCCGCGGUAAUACGUAGGGAGCGAGCGUUAUUCGGAAUUAUUGGGCGUAAAGGGUGCGUAGAUGGCAUAGUAAGUCUUUUGUAAAAAUGCGGGGCUCAACCCAGUAGGGCACAAGAUACUGCAAAGCUAGAGUAUGACAGAGGCAAGUGGAACUACAUGUGUAGCGGUAAAAUGCGUAAAUAUAAGUAAGAACACCAGUGGCGAAGGCGGCUUGCUGGUUCGAUACUGACAUUGAGGCACGAAAGCGUGGGGAUCGAACAGGAUUAGAUACCCCUGUAGUC